GAUGAAGAACGUAGCGAAAUGCGAUAAGUAAUGUGAAUUGCAGAAUUCAGUGAAUCAUCGAAUCUUUGAACGCACAUUGCGCCCCCUGGUAUUCCGGGGGGCAUGCCUGUUCGAGCGUCAUUUCACCACUCAAGCCUCGCUUGGUAUUGGGCAACGCGGUCCGCCGCGUGCCUCAAAUCGACCGGCUGGGUCUUCUGUCCCCUAAGCGUUGUGGAAACUUUCGCUAAAGGGUGUUCGGGAGGCUACGCCGUAAAACAACCCCUUUUCUAAGGUUGACCUCGGAUCAGGUAGGGAUACCCGCUGAACUUAAGCAUAUCAAUAAGCGGAGGA
rnacentral:misc_RNA from 1 species